rnacentral:lncRNA from 1 species
GAGAAUUAGUCAAUUACGCAUAUUGGAAGCAUAUAUUUGAAGUUUGCCCAUGAUGGGACACAUCCAGCCCAACCCACACAAUUGGAGAGACGAACUUACGAAGGUGCCCUUCCGUAGCUGCACUCGUGCAACCCAUUCUGACAGUCUCUCUCCUCUGCAGUUCUCCGAGCUAUUCUCUCUCCCUUCUCUUUCUUCUUUUUUACUCUCAUUCUCUUUUUUUUUCUUUUCUGUUUCUCUUCGUUUCUUUUUUCUUUCUUUUUGUUUGAAUGUCUUUGCUGAUCCAUCAUUUUUAAAUCAAGAUACAUAAAAUUUUGGAUGCCAAUUUUUUGAAAUUUCAACGAAAUCCAAAGAUGUUCUGAUACCAAAUCUUGAUAAAACUAGUGAAAUUUAUGAUAGUGAUUUUAUUGAUGAUGAAGGUUAGUAAUUCUCAUAUAUCUUUUAUUUACAGUUAGAACGCAUGUGUUACCAUUUUUUGGGUAUGAUGUAUUAUCAUAUAUUUAUAGAAAAAUGAUACAUGUCAAAAAUGCUAACACUAUAGUAUCUGUUAAGAUACUUAUUUAAUUACCAAGUUAAGUGGUAUAUGUAGGCGUUAAACAAAUCAAUAACAUGAUACCAGGUUUUAUAAUUCAGUAUUAGUUAUUAAUCCAAUAUAUAAUUUAUCAUGUAACAAAUAAGUUAGUUACUAAAAUAUAAGUUAACGAGUAAAACAACACAUAUAGCAUGUAAUAAUAGUUAUGGUAUGUUGUUAAUAAUUAAUGUAUCAUUUAAAAUUUAUAGUAGCUGUUAACAUAGGUAUUAGCUGAAACUUUUCU